rnacentral:rRNA from 1 species
UACGUAGGGUGCAGGCGUUAAUCGGAAUUACUGGGCGUAAAGCGUGCGCAGGCGGUUUUCUAAGACAGGUGUGAAAUCCCCGGGCUUAACCUGGGAACUGCGGUUGUAACUGGCAAGCUAGAGUGUGGCAGAGGGGGGUGGAAUUCCACGUGUAGCAGUGAAAUGCGUAGAGAUGUGGAGGAACACCGAUGGCGAAGGCAGCCCCCUGGGCUAACACUGACGCUCAUGCACGAAAGCGUGGGGAGCAAACAGG